rnacentral:rRNA from 1 species
GAUGAACGCUGGCGGCGUGCCUAAUACAUGCAAGUCGAGCGAAUGGAUUAAGAGCUUGCUCUUAUGAAGUUAGCGGCGGACGGGUGAGUAACACGUGGGUAACCUGCCCAUAAGACUGGGAUAACUCCGGGAAACCGGGGCUAAUACAGGAUAACAUUUUGAACCGCAUGGUUCGAAAUUGAAAGGCGGCUUCGGAUGGCAUCUAUGGAUGGACCAGCGUCGCAUUAGCUAGUUGGUGAGGUAACGGCUCACCGAGGCAACGAUGCGUCGCCGACCUGAGAGGGUGAUCGGCCACACUGGGACUGAGACACGGCCCAGACUCCUACGGGAGGCAGCAGUAGGGAAUCUUCCGCAAUGGACGAAGGUCUGACGGAGCAGCGCCGCGUGAGUGAUGAAGGCUUUCGGGUCGUAAAACUCUGUUGUUAGGGAAGAACAAGUGCUAGUUGAAUAAGCUGGCACCUUGACGGUACCUAACCAGAAAGCCACGGCUAACUACGUGCCAGCAGCCGCCGUAA